UACGGAGGGUGCAAGCGUUAUCCGGAUUUACUGGGUUUAAAGGGUGCGCAGGCGGAUAUGUAAGUCAGUGGUGAAAUCUCUGGGCUUAACCCGGAAAUUGCCAUUGAUACUAUAUAUCUUGAAUGCUGUGGAGGUAAGCGGAAUAUGUCAUGUAGCGGUGAAAUGCUUAGAUAUGACAUAGAACACCCAUUGCGAAGGCAGCUAACUACGCAAAUAUUGACGCUGAGGCACGAAAGCGUGGGGAUCAAACAGG
rnacentral:rRNA from 1 species